UAGAUUCAACCCAAAACAUGAACUUUAUACGAAAUUACCACCAUAAACACCUUCACCAAAAGAAACCACCACAGAGAAUCAAACAAAGAAGAAAUGGGGGAAACGAAUAAGGAUUUUUUGAUCUUAGCCCAAACGGGGGUAUCACGAGAGAGAGAGAGACAGUUGUUGCCUGUUGCUGAGGGGAAGCGGCUGGGGAGCAGUCGGCUUUUGGGGUUUUAGAAGGGGAGGGGAUUUUUUUUUUCUCUUUCUAUAAAGAGGCGAUCGGAAGGGUAGCAAAGGUCCGAGUCGCCGCAGAGAAUAACACGAGAGAGCCCAUGCGGCAGUGUUUCGCAGCCAUUUUAGUAUUUC
rnacentral:lncRNA from 1 species